GUUUCAGGGCGGGGCGAAAUUCCCCACCGGUGGUGACGGGUAGCCUGAUCAUUGCAGGCGUAGUCCCGAAGUCCGCGAGCCGCGUAGAAAAGAGCGGUUGACCUGGUGCGAUUCCAGGACCGACGGUUACAGUCCGGAUGGAAGAAA
rnacentral:ncRNA from 1 species